CCAAGACCUCACCCUUUAACAAUC
rnacentral:siRNA from 1 species